UGAGGGGCCGUUAUUUACAGAAUAGAGACUUCAACGAAAAUACCAUCCCCUACAACCUACGUCAAAACGAAAGACAGGGAUUACAAACCAUUUACAGGUAUUUAACGAAGAAGACAAAUUUCAGCGGAGAUUUAUCGUCGCUUCAGAAGGAACGCCCCUUUCUUGUAUCAAAGGAUGGUGUGAGACUGACAGACCAAACACUCCACGAAUUCCUCCGAAAGUACGUGAGCAAGGACGCCGUUGAAAUGAUAUCCAAUGUACUCAAAUAUUCGUUACACAAUGUAACCGCCGCAUCAGAAUUACCAUUUACACCA